rnacentral:rRNA from 1 species
UACGUAGGGGGCAAGCGUUAUCCGGAUUUACUGGGUGUAAAGGGAGCGCAGGCGGCCGAAUAAGUCAGAAGUGAAAUCCCGGGGCUCAACUCCGGGGCUGCUUUUGAAACUGUUUGGCUUGAUUGCAGGAGAGGUAAGUGGAAUUCCUAGUGUAGCGGUGAAAUGCGUAGAUAUUAGGAGGAACACCAGUGGCGAAGGCGGCUUACUGGACUGUAAAUGACGCUGAGGCUCGAAAGCGUGGGGAG